UGUGAACAUACCAAUUGUUGCCUCGGCGGAUCAGCCCGCUCCCGGUAAAACGGGACGGCCCGCCAGAGGACCCCUAAACUCUGUUUCUAUAUGUAACUUCUGAGUAAAACCAUAAAUAAAUCAAAACUUUCAACAACGGAUCUCUUGGUUCUGGCAUCGAUGAAGAACGCAGCAAAAUGCGAUAAGUAAUGUGAAUUGCAGAAUUCAGUGAAUCAUCGAAUCUUUGAACGCACAUUGCGCCCGCCAGUAUUCUGGCGGGCAUGCCUGUUCGAGCGUCAUUUCAACCCUCAAGCCCAGCUUGGUGUUGGGACUCGCGAGUCAAAUCGCGUUCCCCAAAUUGAUUGGCGGUCACGUCGAGCUUCCAUAGCGUAGUAGUAAAACCCUCGUUACUGGUAAUCGUCGCGGCCACGCCGUUAAACCCCAACUUCUGAAUGUUGACCUCGGAUCAGGUAGGAAUACCCGCCCCAACUUAAGCAUAUCAAUAAGCGGA
rnacentral:rRNA from 1 species